CCGGCUGUGUGACUGUCAACCGCAGCUUGCUGGGAGAAACUUUACACGCAGGAGACAGAGGCUGGAGGAUCUCUGUGAGUUCGGGGGCAGCCUGAUCUACACAGCGAGCUCCAGGACUACAGAGAGAGACUCUGUCUCAAACUAAACAAAACAAAAAACCGACCCAGGAAGCGUAUCAGAGAAUCCAGCGAAUGAGCGAAUGAGCUUGCAUCAGAGUAAGUUCUCAAACAGACCGAAUUAAAACUCGGAAGAUUUGCCUUUGGUGGCUCUCUCCUGCGGUCGCGCACAAAGGAGGAAAUUACUUGGUCUCAAAAAGGAUGAAACGUGGGCCAGUGAUACAGUUCAGAGGAACAGCAGUCAAUGAAGGGCCGAAACAGGACUGUGAAAGGGCUGGAAGCUGGGGAAGGCUCAUCUCAGAGAUUAUGAAAUAGCAUGUGCACUGCUGUGUCAGCCAAGUUUCUCCAGAGGAACAGAACCAAUAGGAAGUGUGAGAGGUUUAUCUCAAGGACUUGGCCAAGCAGCAAUAUGCAGAGAAGACAACAGGAGAGAACCCGCAUUACAGCUGGAAUCUGAGGCGUCCAGCAGAGGGUGUGGCCCAGAUUAAAGGUGUGCCUUCCCACCUCAAGAUCUGGAUUAAAGGCGUGUGCCAUCUCACUUCAGGAUCAAAAGAGUGUCUUCUAGCCUUAAGAUUGGGAUUAAAGGCAUGGUGGUCUUCCUGCCUCAACAACCGGAUGACAAGUGUGCCCUCCAUUUCUGGAUUGUAGCUCAUUCCAGGGAUAGUCAAGGUGACAACCAAGAAUAGUCGCACUAGUGGCAGGUGAGAAGCCACUGAACCUCAGAGAGGUUGGUUAACUGAUUAGAAUGACAAUGGCCAGGGAGAGGCUGGAGUGUUGCAUGUCCAGAGUCCAAUUACAAUGUAUCUCAGGCUAUCUUCAGCCCCCUUAGGACUCAGUAUCUGCCUAACAUCUUUAUGACUAACUGAUGAAAACCCUUUGAACUGUAUUCACUUAACAGAUCACUAGCUUUGCUAACCAAAUGGCUGAGUGUCAUGGAUAAUAUCUGCGGUCCAUAAAAGAGAGACUCCCUGCCCCUCACAUACAUGUACCUUGCUUUAACAUCCCUACCUAAUGUCUUAACGUGUAUUUUAAAAGUGGCUAGCUGGACUUAGGUCUAUGUUCAUUACCAUAAAAGAUUCAUCAGACUGUUACCACACUGGAACAUGUAAUUUGGGGUAUCCUGGAGCUGUGUUCCAUAGUUAUUCAUAUUUGGCUCCUGAAUAAGCUACCUCUUAUCACCUUAGAGGUGAGGGUUGUGUCUUUACAGUGACAAAAGUCAUAUGACACUCUGCAACCAGAGUGGGGACAACCAGACUCAGCUGCAGAGGCAAAUGAUGGUUCUGAGACAGAGGCAGGCAGGUCUCUGAGUUUGAGGCCAGCCUGGUUUACAGAGUGAGUUCCAGGAUAGCCAGGGCUACACAGAGAAACCUUGUCUUGAAAAACAUACACAAAACCCCUAUUUCCUGAGGCAGACCCAGGACCAGGACGUUAAAAUGAGCUUCCAGAUAUAUAAGAGAACAUCUAUAGGUCUAGUAUGAUUUUUGAACACAGCUAACCAUGUGAAGUGCAUUCUUCAUCAGUUAGAUUUCAGGUAUGGCAUAUACAUGAGUAUUACACAAAGUUACCAUUGAAAUCACAAGCCACCGAAUAUUCCAUCAGCUUGAAGUCAAAGGGUGCUGUUCUAGAGCUUCACCACAAGGUGGCAGGGUUGGCAAAGAUAAGGAAAAGCUUCAACAGCGAAUUCCUAACAUCCUAAGAGCCUGCCUGCUACAUCAAAGUUCCAACUGCAUACAUUUUAAGGACUUAACCCACAACACCCAAUGCAUGUAGGUGGGAUGAGACAGCAACAGAAAAAGCCUCCCAAAGGAGAGGCUGAAGCUGAGGAAAUCAAGGCUGUCAAAUCUGUUCAGUAGGAGUCAUUAAUCAAGUUUACCUAGACGAGCCUAGGAGAUGGCCAGAAACUACUGGAGGGCAAGAGAGGCCUAAAAUAGAAAUGGCAAAGCCAUAUACAAGGUUUGAGUGCACACACAC